rnacentral:lncRNA from 1 species
GGGCCUACGGUACAGGGUGAGCAGGGCCUGAAUCGUGACCCUGACCUGGACCUGACCUGAAUUGCAACCCUAACCCGACUGCAACCCUGACCACGACCCCAGUGGAUUUUAUAGAGAGGAAGUCAGACAGGGAGGGAGAAGAAUAGGAUUUGAUGUCAUCGUGUUGUUUGGCAUCCAGGGGCCUUUAUUUAGAGUUGGGUUAGAGCCUCCACCUGGAAAAUGUGGAUGCCAAGUUGGGCAUUAUGUGGUUAACCUGACUUAUUUUGAGCAGUUGGCGCUCCCUAUCUUGAGGAAUGCAGAUUCCAGCAGUGACCCAGGGCAGAGAGUGUGUGUCACUGAUGAGAGUGGGAAAAUGAAACUCUUUAGUUAGCCUUUCAUCCAAUCUGUUUGUCAGAUGCUAUCUACCCCAGGGACUAUAAUCGCUGGCACAAUCCCAGUCCCUAAAGGAAAGUCACUGGCCCUUGUAGAAGAAAUCAGAAACAGAAAUGAUGUGAAAGUGUUUAAUGUCUCCAAGGAAGACAGAAACCACCUUCUGCAAGAUAUUGUGAUGUGUGUGCAGAGCAGCAGG